rnacentral:rRNA from 1 species
AUUGAACGCUGGCGGCAGGCCUACCACAUGCAAGUCGAGCGAGCGGCGGACGGGUGAGUAAUGUAUGGGGACUGCCUGAUCUAGGGAGAUAACUACUGUAAACGGUGGCUAAUACCGCUUACUAUCCGAUAACUCAUAUGGUAUUAGCUAGUCGGUGGGGUAAAGGCUCACGUAGGCGACGAUCUUUAGCUGUUCUGAGAGGAUGAUCAGCCACACGGGGACGGAGAAACGGCCCAGACUCCUACGGAGGCAGCAGUGGGGAAGAUUGCACAAUGGGCGCAAGCCUGAUGCAGCCAUGCCGCGUGUAUGAAGAAGGCCUUAGGGUUGUAAAGUACUUUCAGCGGAGAGGCGUUACCCGAAGAAGAAGCAACGGCUAACUCCGUGCCAGCAGCCGCGGUAAUAC